rnacentral:lncRNA from 1 species
AGAACAGGGACCUCUUCCUCAGGCUGUGCUGAGUUUGAGGUUCCGGGUUCGAAUGCGCUUGGAUUUGAACCCCAGCGAGGAGAAGUGGUACGAGAAUGAGCCGGACUGGGGGGCCAGGCCUCAGGGCCUCCCCCCACAGAGCCCCCCAGCCCAGCAACAGCAGCCAGGCCCCUCUGCCAGCACCAGCCAGGAGGACACCAGCCCCACGCCCACCCAGGGCAGAUUCCAGCCUCGGCUCGACCAAGUGGACACUUCCCUCCAGGUCCAGAAAAGGGGGGGAGGGGGCGUGUGGGUGGUGACCCUCCCUGGGAGACACAACCCAGGACAGGGAGGGAGGCGGGAGGAGCAGCCACCUUCCCAGGGAACCCAGAGCAAAGUGGCUGGGGGGGGGGGUUGCAAAGGGGGUGGCAGUGAACA